CCGUAGGUGAACCUGCGGAGGGAUCAUUGCUGGAACGCGCCCCAGGCGCACCCAGAAACCCUUUGUGAACUUAUACCUUUUGUUGCCUCGGCGCAUGCUGGUCUCUAGUAGGCCCCUCACCCCGGUGAGGAGACGGCACGCCGGCGGCCAAGUUAACUCUUGUUUUUACACUGAAACUCUGAGAAAAAACACAAAUGAAUCAAAACUUUCAACAACGGAUCUCUUGGUUCUGGCAUCGAUGAAGAACGCAGCGAAAUGCGAUAAGUAAUGUGAAUUGCAGAAUUCAGUGAAUCAUCGAAUCUUUGAACGCACAUUGCGCCCUCUGGUAUUCCGGAGGGCAUGCCUGUUCGAGCGUCAUUUCAACCCUCAAGCAUUGCUUGGUGUUGGGGCACUGCUUUUAACGAAGCAGGCCCUGAAAUCUAGUGGCGAGCUCGCCAGGACCCCGAGCGCAGUAGUUAAACCCUCGCUUUGGAAGGCCCUGGCGGUGCCCUGCCGUUAAACCCCCAACUUCUGAAAAUUUGACCUCGGAUCAGGUAGGAAUACCCGCUGAACUUAAGCAUAUCAAUAAGCCGGAGGA
rnacentral:rRNA from 1 species